rnacentral:rRNA from 1 species
UACGGGGGGGGCAAGCGUUGUUCGGAAUUACUGGGCGUAAAGCGCACGUAGGCGGAUUUGUAAGUCAGGGGUGAAAUCCUGGAGCUCAACUCCAGAACUGCCUUUGAUACUGAAGAUCUUGAGUCCGGGAGAGGUGAGUGGAACUGCGAGUGUAGAGGUGAAAUUCGUAGAUAUUCGCAAGAACACCAGUGGCGAAGGCGGCUCACUGGCCCGGUACUGACGCUGAGGCACGAAAGCGUGGGGAGCAAACAGG